CGAUGUUAAUAUUCAGCUUUUAAACCAAAGCAUGGGAUUAUAGGAUUAUAUCUCAUUUAUGUGUUGCAAGAACACACAGGAUACACAUUGUUUACCAGUAGAGGAAUACAUUACAGGGAAAUGUGUAAGAUGGUAAAAAAAAAUCAAUUAUGUAAUCACUGUAAAUUACAAGGUUUGUUAAAAUAACAAACGUAUUGGCAUGUGUCUAUAAUGCGUGUAUCCACAUACAGUUAACAGAAAGCAUAGCAGUCAUCUCAAAUAGCAUGUCAAUAGGAUCCUGUUAUGCAUAGCAAAAGUUUAGCAAAAACGGGGGGGGGGGAGGGAGGUUCAGCUCGUAAAGCAAGCUGUAGAUCCCCAGAUGUUUUAAACCAACAGCUUCCAUGAUGCUUUGUCAUUCUAGAGGCAUUCCAAAGGCAUGCAAAACAUCAAACGAUUACUAGAAUUGAACACAAUAAAUAAUAAAAGUACAUGUGGCACAAAUGUUUAAAUAAAUAUCUAAAAUAAUGCCUUAUGAC